AGUCAUGGACGUUCUGGCCUGUUGUUGGGUGGGUAAAUCACCAGUACAUGCCACAGCAAUUCCGUGUCAUCUUCCACAGCCUUAUCGCAGUCGGCUGGGGAAUAUUUCUGAAUCUCCGAGCAAGGUCCAUGGCGUUGACCAAAGGCUAACAGGAGAAGAACAUCAGAAAUCAUGAUAUGUCAUCAUUGAUGAUUUAUCACCAUUGAUGAAUAAUGCUUCCAAUUGCAUGGAUAUAUUAUGUGGUUACCGCAUUGUUUUCGGCAACCAUAAACUCAGCAACAUUAGUUCUUAUUUAUAUGCGUGUAACGUGUGAUGAAUGUUGAUUGAAAGUUUUAUUGGAAAUGUUUUCUACUGCUCUAUGUGUUUUUA